rnacentral:rRNA from 1 species
UUGGAAGGAAGAAGUGUAACAAGGUUUCCGUAGGUGAACCUGCGGAAGGAUCAUUG